GAUGAAGAACGUAGCAAAAUGCGAUAAGUAGUGUGAAUUGCAGAAUUCAGUGAAUCAUCGAAUCUUUGAACGCACAUUGCGCCCCUUGGUAUUCCAUGGGGCAUGCCUGUUCGAGCGUCAUUGACACCCUCAAGCUCUGCUUGGUGUUGGGCCGUUGUCGUUUCCUCGCCCCCCCCCGGCGACACAGCGACACCCCUCAAAGUCAUUGGCGGCUUUCCUGCCCAGCUUUCCCGCGCAGCAGUUCGCGCUUCGGAGACCACUUGGCAGGUUGGCAUCCAUCAAGCUGACCCCUCACGCUUGACCUCGGAUCAGGUAGGGACUACCCGCUGAACUUAAGAAUAUCAAUAAGGGAGGA
rnacentral:misc_RNA from 1 species